AAGAAAUUAGUUUAAUUAUAAAACAUUAGUUUGUCAAGCUAAAAAUAUUAAUAUUAAUAUUUCUUA
rnacentral:tRNA from 1 species